AGUCGAGCGGACAGAUGGGAGCUUGCUCCCUGAUGUUAGCGGCGGACGGGUGAGUAACACGUGGGUAACCUGCCUGUAAGACUGGGAUAACUCCGGGAAACCGGGGCUAAUACCGGAUGCUUGUUUGAACCGCAUGGUUCAAACAUAAAAGGUGGCUUCGGCUACCACUUACAGAUGGACCCGCGGCGCAUUAGCUAGUUGGUGAGGUAACGGCUCACCAAGGCAACGAUGCGUAGCCGACCUGAGAGGGUGAUCGGCCACACUGGGACUGAGACACGGCCCAGACUCCUACGGGAGGCAGCAGUAGGGAAUCUUCCGCAAUGGACGAAAGUCUGACGGAGCAACGCCGCGUGAGUGAUGAAGGUUUUCGGAUCGUAAAGCUCUGUUGUUAGGGAAGAACAAGUACCGUUCGAAUAGGGCGGUACCUUGACGGUACCUAACCAGAAAGCCACGGCUAACUACGUGCCAGCAGCCGCGGUAAUACGUAGGUGGCAAGCGUUGUCCGGAAUUAUUGGGCGUAAAGGGCUCGCAGGCGGUUCCUUAAGUCUGAUGUGAAAGCCCCCGGCUCAACCGGGGAGGGUCAUUGGAAACUGGGGAACUUGAGUGCAGAAGAGGAGAGUGGAAUUCCACGUGUAGCGGUGAAAUGCGUAGAGAUGUGGAGGAACACCAGUGGCGAAGGCGACUCUCUGGUCUGUU
rnacentral:rRNA from 1 species